GAUGAACGCUAGCUCCAGGCUUAACACAUGCAAGUCGAGGGACCGGCGCACGGGUGAGUCACACGUAUCCAACCUGCCCUUUACUCGGGGAUAGCCUUUCGACAGAAAGAUUAAUACCCGAUAUAAAGGAUGGGGAUGCGUUCCAUUCGGUUGUUGGUGAGGUACCGGCUCACCAAGCCUUCGAUGGAUAGGGGUUCUGAGAGGAAGGUCCCCCAGAUGGGAACUGGGACCCGGUCCAAACUCGUACGGGAGGCAGCAGGGAGGAAGAUUGGUAAGAGGGCGCUAGCAUGAAACAGCCAAGUAGCGUGAAGGAUGAAGGGUUAUGGGUCGUAAACUUUUUGUAUAGAAGAAUAUGUAUUAUAUGAAUAAGGAUCGGCUAACUCCGUGCCAGCAGCCGCGGUAAUAC
rnacentral:rRNA from 1 species